rnacentral:rRNA from 1 species
UACGUAGGGGGCAAGCGUUGUCCGGAUUUAUUGGGCGUAAAGAGCGUGUAGGCGGCUGGGUAGGUCCGUUGUGAAAACUCGAGGCUCAACCUCGAGACGCCGAUGGAAACCCUCCAGCUAGAGUCCGGAAGAGGAGAGUGGAAUUCCUGGUGUAGCGGUGAAAUGCGCAGAUAUCAGGAAGAACACCCGUGGCUAAGGCGGCUCUCUAGUACGUGACUGACGCUGAGACGCGAAAGCGUGGGGAGCAAACAGG